GAAGCGGCAACAGCUCAAAUUUGAAAUCUGGCCUCUUUGGGGUCCGAGUUGUAAUUUGUAGAGGAUGUUUCGGGUACCGCCUCGGUCUAAAUUUCUUGGAACAGAAUGUCAGAGAGGGUGAGAAUCCCGUCUUGGACCGGCGGUAGGGCCCAUGUGAAACUCCUUCGACGAGUCGAGUUGUUUGGGAAUGCAGCUCAAAAUGGGUGGUAUAUUUCAUCUAAAGCUAAAUAUUGGCCAGAGACCGAUAGCGCACAAGUAGAGUGAUCGAAAGAUGAAAAGAACUUUGAAAAGAGAGUUAAACAGUAUGUGAAAUUGUUGAAAGGGAAGCGCUUGCAACCAGACUUGAGCGCGGCGGUUCCCCCUUCCUUUUGGUUGGGUUACUCCGUCGUGUCCAGGCCAACAUCGGUUCUGGGGGUCGGUUAAAGGCUUGGGGAAUGUACCUACGUCUUCGGGCGUAGACUUAUAGCCCCGAGUGUCAUGCGACCUCCCGGGACCGAGGAACGCGCUUCGGCUCGGAUGUUGGCGUAAUGGUUGUAAGCGGCCCGUCUUGAAACACGGACCAAGGAGUCUAACAUCUAUGCGAGUGUUUGGGUGUCAAACCCGGAACGCGGAAUGAAAGUGAACGGAGGUAGGAAGCUUCGGCUGCACUAUCGACCGAUCCUGAUGUCUUCGGAUGGAUUUGAGUAAGAGCAUAGCUGUUGGGACCCGAAAGAUGGUGAAC
rnacentral:rRNA from 1 species